rnacentral:lncRNA from 1 species
AUGUAUUUAUGACGAUAUUUACACUUAAGUACAAUUAUAAUACUACUCCUAUUUAACUAGGCAGUAUACAACUACUUUCUAAUGUUCAUAUAUUGUGUAGCACAUAUGUAUUCUGCCGAGCAUUAUUCAUCAUAAUUACGUUAGGUAUAAUUGCUUUUUGAAAGAUUGAAAAAAAAUGUUUUGGGAGUCGUUAUAUUUUCUUAUUUUAUUUAUUUGAAUUUAGAUUAAAACAUUUACCUCUAAUCAUUUUAUGUUGGAUUAAAAUUUUCUAUAAUCAACUUCUUUUGACACUGAAAGUAAAAACACAGAUAAUGAAUGGUUUUUCAUUUUUCCGAAUCUUUCAUUUUUAUAGAGUCAAAGGUUUUGUCUCAGCUUGAGCCGAUUGAGUCGAGUCCAUAAAUUAGAAAAGGAAAAAAUACUAGCUGUAGUACCCGGCAUUGUCUGAAGUUAUAAGUAGUGAUGAAAAUCGUAUGCAUAAUGGGUAUGCUAAAAAAAGAAACCGAUAAUCACCAUGGUAUCCCUGGCAAAUUUGAAAAAAAUGUUUUGGUGGAGUCCAGCUACAAUCAGGUGUGAUACGAGAGGAGGGGAGAAGGAAAUUAACAAGGAUUUUAGCAAGAAUCACUCCGAUGUUGAUCCGCAAUGCUAGUAUAAGUCCAUCAAGGACUUAGAAUUAUAAUUCUGGAACAAAUCCUUAAAGAAAGGAAGUUCACGCCUCAGGAAUGAAAUGAUAAUGACAAUUGCUGAGGGAAAAAAACCAUUCUUACAAA